rnacentral:rRNA from 1 species
UGCGUAACGCGUAUGCAAUCUACCUUUCACAGAGGGAUAGCCCAGAGAAAUUUGGAUUAAUACCUCAUAGUAUUAUUGAGUGGCAUCACUUAAUAAUUAAAGUCACAACGGUGAAAGAUGAGCAUGCGUCCCAUUAGCUAGUUGGUAAGGUAACGGCUUACCAAGGCAACGAUGGGUAGGGGUCCUGAGAGGGAGAUCCCCCACACUGGUACUGAGACACGGACCAGACUCCUACGGGAGGCAGCAGUGAGGAAUAUUGGACAAUGGGCGCAAGCCUGAUCCAGCCAUGCCGCGUGCAGGAUGACGGUCCUAUGGAUUGUAAACUGCUUUUGUACGAGAAGAAACACUGCUUCGUGAAGCAGCUUGACGGUAUCGUAAGAAUAAGGAUCGGCUAACUCCGUGCCAGCAGCCGCGGUAAUACGGAGGAUCCAAGCGUUAUCCGGAAUCAUUGGGUUUAAAGGGUCCGUAGGCGGUUUAGUAAGUCAGUGGUGAAAGCCCAUCGCUCAACGGUGGAACGGCCAUUGAUACUGCUGAACUUGAAUUAUUAGGAAGUAACUAGAAUAUGUAGUGUAGCGGUGAAAUGCUUAGAGAUUACAUGGAAUACCAAUUGCGAAGGCAGGUUACUACUAAUUGAUUGACGCUGAUGGACGAAAGCGUGGGGAGCGAACAGGAUUAGAUA